AGUGAACGCUGGCGGUAGGCCUAACACAUGCAAGUCGAACGGCAGCACAGUAAGAGCUUGCUCUUACGGGUGGCGAGUGGCGGACGGGUGAGGAAUACAUCGGAAUCUACUUUUUCGUGGGGGAUAACGUAGGGAAACUUACGCUAAUACCGCAUACGACCUACGGGUGAAAGCAGGGGAUCUUCGGACCUUGCGCGAUUGAAUGAGCCGAUGUCGGAUUAGCUAGUUGGCGGGGUAAAGGCCCACCAAGGCGACGAUCCGUAGCUGGUCUGAGAGGAUGAUCAGCCACACUGGAACUGAGACACGGUCCAGACUCCUACGGGAGGCAGCAGUGGGGAAUAUUGGACAAUGGGCGCAAGCCUGAUCCAGCCAUACCGCGUGGGUGAAGAAGACCUUCGGGUUGUAAAGCCCUUUUGUUGGGAAAGAAAAGCAGCAGGUUAAUACCCCGCUGUUCUGACGGUACCCAAAGAAUAAGCACCGGCUAACUUCGCG
rnacentral:rRNA from 1 species